AUGGAGGCAUCUAAGCUCGCCCUUUUGGUCGUGCUGGCAACGACAGCCGCCAUGGCUAACCCCAGCAAUGCCCAGAACUCGCCACACGACUACGUCGUCGCCCACAACGUCGCUCGCGCCGCCGUGGGCUUGGGCCCUGUGUCCUGGGACGCGUCCGUGGCGGCCUAUGCGGCGAGCUACGCAAGGCAGCGCUCCGGCGAUUGCAAGCUAGUGCACUCAAAGGCACCACAGUACGGGGAGAACCUGUUCUGGGGCUCCGGCAAGGACUGGACGGCGGCGCAGGCCGUGAAGAUAUGGGCCGACGAGAAGGCCAACUACAACUACGCCUCCAACAGCUGCGCCGCCGGGAAGCAGUGCGGGCACUACACGUAGAUAGUGUGGCGCAACUCGACGCAUGUCGGCUGCGCGCGCCUGCUCUGCGACCACAACGCCGGCGUGUUCAUCACCUGCAAUUACAGCCCUCCCGGCAACUACAUUGGGCAGAGGCCAUAUUGA
rnacentral:rRNA from 1 species